CGACCCCCACCCCCUCUCUCUUUAGCAUGUAUCCCUGAAUGUCUUACUUCUCUGGUGAGAUCUUUUCUCUCCAUUUCCUCAAGGCUGGCUUGCUGGUGCCAGGCCCCAGGCUGGACUGUGCUUGUAGACCAGUAGGGAGGAGGCCAGUGUGAGCUGGUUGGGGCCAGGAUCUGCUUCCCCUGCAACCUGGUUGCAAUUGUUCCCACUAUGCAGUCACAGCUAUAACCAGCAGCUGGAUGCAGUUUUCCUGGGCUCCUGGGCCUAGGUAAAGGAAUGGAGUCCGGCCUGGUGUGUCAGCGUGUGUGAACUUCGGGCCACAGACCGUAAUGGUUUCCGCAUGAGCUGGAGGACCCUGGGCCCUGCCACCAUCAUGUCCUUUCCUAGCAUGGCAACCUGCCCUGAGCCCAAUCCUCAGCGAUGCUGAGACAUCUACUACUCAACCCCAACUCUCGACAAGCCUCUUUCCUGCCCAGAAGACAUGCCUCUCUGCCGAGGUGGAGAGUCAGAGCAGGGAUUGCCCUUGGGCUCAAACCAUGAGAGCAGCCGGGCUGCAGCUGGGGAAGGCCACAAGUCUCCUGGGCCCAGCUGGCUCCUGGCCCAUAUCCAGCCUGGCCACAGC
rnacentral:lncRNA from 1 species